UCUGGUGGUCACGAUGAUCUUUGAGUCUUGAUUGGGGUGCCUAGCCCUUGUUGUCUUCUGAGUUUUUGUGUUUCUUUUGGUGUUUUUCACCUUGUGUUUGCUGCUGGUGUCAGAGAUUACUUUGUUUUGUUUGUCUGGUGUUUUGGUCAAGCUGCGUUUGUAUAUACUAUGUGUAUUUGUUGAUUUAAACAUUUCAUUCCUUAAAAAAAAAAAAAAAAAAAAAAAAAAGUGGGGAUUAUUAGCAUGAGUUAUACUUUAAUGAGGUAGUGUGAGAUUGUGAUGAACGAGUUUCCUAUAAGAAGUGAACUUUUAGAUGUUUUCCAUUACUUAUCAUAGUUGUGGGGGUGAGUUGUGAGUUGUCUUGUGCCUGCAAUUUAGGUGCAACCAUUUGAUUAUAUAUUUCAAGUAUUAGAUUUCUAGAUAUUGGGGCUCCAGGAAAUAUGGCAAGUAGGCAUGAGGCAUCAGAGGUUUUCUUGUUUGAAGAUAUUAUAUAUGUUGCUUUGGGAACUGAUGUGAGAGAAUGCAAAUCAAUCCUGUUGUGGGCUGUACAGAACUCUGGAGGAAAGAGAAUUUGCAUCCUUCACGUACAUCAGCCUCCACAGUUGAUCCCUUUUAUGGGUACAAGAGCUCCUGCAAGCAAACUGAAGGAAAGUAUCGUAAGGGAAUACCGGGAAAAAGAAAGGCAAAAAAUGCAAAAGACCCUGGAUGAUUACCUUCUUAUCUGUCGCCAAAUGGGGGUACAGGCAAAGAAAGUAUAUACAGAAAUGGACUGUAUUAAAGAGGGAAUCGUAGACCUCAUUUCCCAGCAUGACAUCAAGAAGCUUGUUAUGGGUGCAGCAGCAGAGAAGCAAUACAAAAAAAAAAUGAUGGAACUCAGGUCUACUAAAGCUAUGUAUGUGCGUGAGAAAGCACCUGUCUCAUGUCAAAUACAAUUUAUCUGCAAAGGAAACCUCAUCCAUACUAGGCAAUCACGUGCAGACACUGAAACAGGAGAAGCAAACCCUUUGAGAUCAAGGUCUGUUACUUUCAGCCAAAAUAGGGAUAUCACCGAACCUGGACCAGCAAACUACUAUAGAUCACAAUCUGUAACACUGGGGCACAAUAGGGACAUCCAUGGAAGGAACAUUCUAUUCCCACAAGGUAUGGAGGAGCUUCCAUCUCUUAAGAACAAGUUUGAUGCAGAAGAGAGUUCUGAUGAAUGGGAUGGGUCAUCAAGGAGGAGUACUUCAGUUUACUCAACCAGGUCUCCCAAAAGAGUAGUUGACGUAACUCUGACUUCAUGGAGUGAGGGGAAUGAGUUUAGUACACUCUCUCCACCUACCUAUUAUUCAAGAAGCCCUUCUACUGUGGAGGCUGCAUCUUCAUUAUGGCAACCAAGUUCAAGUUCCUUAUCAACAAGCUCUUCUAAUGGAGCUCUCAGUGCUGCACAGGAUGGAAGUUUAGAUAAUACUCUUUAUGAGCAAUAUCAACAAGCGGCAGAAGAGGCUGACAAAGAGACACAAAGGCGUCGGAAAGCUGAAAGAGAUUUGGUUGAGGCUCUACGCAGGGCCCAAGAAGAGUCGUUUCAAAGAAAAGAAAUUGAGGAAGCUCUAUUAAAAGGGAAAGAAGAAGUUGAAAAGGUUAAGAAUCAGAGGGACCAACUCAUGGAAGAAUUUCGGAAUUCCCAUGAACAAAUAAUAUUAUUAAAGAGCCAACUUGAAAAUUUACAGAAAGAGAGGGAUGAGUUUAAGAUGGAGCGUGACAAUGCACUGAAAGAGGCUGAAGAACUGAGAAGAAAACAAGCAGAGGCCUCUAGACAUUUACCUCAGUUCUUCUCUGAGUACUCACUCUCUGAGAUUGAAGAAGCUACUCAUGGCUUUGAUGAAUCCCUCAAAAUUGGACAAGGAGGAUAUGGUAGCAUUUAUAAAGGUCGCCUGCAUCAAACCAAGGUUGCAAUAAAGAGGCUAGAAUCUCAAGGCUCACAAGGCCCCUCAGAAUUCCGAAUGGAGGUUCGUGUAUUGAGUCACUUGAGGCAUCCCAAUCUUGUCAGACUCAUAGGAUCUUGCCCGGAAGUUUUUGCACUAAUUUAUGAGUAUCUCCCCUGUGGAAGCCUUGAAGAUCGACUAAAUUGCAAGGACAACAGCCCUCCAUUAUCAUGGCAAACUCGAAUAUGCAUUGCCACGGAGUUGUGCUCAGUCCUGGUGUAUCUUCAUUGCAUUAAACCUCACAGCAUUGUACAUGGUGAUUUAAAACCAUCCAAUGUACUCCUUGAUUCCAACUUUGUUUGUAAACUUAGUGACUUUGGAAUCUGCCGUAUGUUAUGCCAUGAUAAAAGUUCAAGCAACACAACACUGUGUCAUUUUACCGAUCCGAAGGGAACCAUUCCUUACAUAGAUCCUGAGUUCGUUGAUACAGGAAAGCUUACUAGGAAGUCAGAUGUUUACUCCUUUGGGAUCAUACUAAUACAGUUGUUGACUGGGAGAUCAGCCAUCAAAUUAGCAAAUGCAGUGCAAAAUGCCUUAGAUGCCAGAAAUUUGAAAACCGUCUUGGAUCCUUCAGCUGGAGACUGGCCAUUUGAGCUUGCUCAAGAGUUGGCUCGCUUGGCCUUGAGGUGUUGUGACAAGAACAGAAAGAACCGGCCAGACCUUGGGUCAGAUGUCAGGAAUGUACUUGAACAAAUGAGGGCUUCAUGUGGAGCCUCAUCCUUGUACCGACAGGAACCUGAAUAGCAUUAUUGCCAACUACCUCCAUCUAUAUAUUGUAUUUGUAGCAAAAUUUACAAGGUAGUCUUGCAAGAUUUGUUUGUGGCAGCAAAUGGUUUUUUUCUCAUGAAGCAGCGCUCGACUUUGAGAAGAGGGCUGGACAGUGGUCAGCGGGCUUUACACUUAAAAUAAAGGACAAUCUUAAGCUUGCAUACUACAACCUUCUUCUCUUCCUUCCAUCAUUCAGAUGUGACUGCAACACAGCAUUGAAAUCAUUUUUUUGUUUCUUUCUUUUUGAGCUCUACAAAUCAUUCAUACCAAUCUUUCCGGGAAGGGGGGAAGAAAAAAAAAUGUAUAUAUAUAAUGUACAUGCUUUCUUCAUUCUUUAAAUCUUUGUUGUAUAAUAUACUUUUUUUAGCCUUUGUUGUAUCUUUGAUGUAUGACAAUAGAUGAAGUCAAUUUUUGUUCUUUGUUAA